rnacentral:rRNA from 1 species
UACGUAGGGUGCAAGCGUUAAUCGGAAUUACUGGGCGUAAAGCGCGUGUAGGCGGAUGGGUAAGUCAGAUGUGAAAUCCCUGGGCUCAACCUAGGAACUGCACCUGAAACUGCCCAUCUGGAGUAGUGGAGAGGAGAGCGGAAUUCCUGGUGUAGAGGUGAAAUUCGUAGAUAUUCGCAAGAACACCAGUGGCGAAGGCGGCUCGCUGGCCCGGUACUGACGCUGAGGUGCGAAAGCGUGGGGAGCAAACAGG